rnacentral:rRNA from 1 species
UACGAAGGGUGCAAGCGUUGCUCGGAAUUAUUGGGCGUAAAGCGCACGUAGGCGGCUUAGCAGGUCGGAAGUGAAAUCCCACGGCUCAACCAUGGAAGUGCUUUCGAAACUGCUGAGCUUGAGUACGAAAGAGGAUCGCGGAAUUCCCGGUGUAGAGGUGAAAUUCGUAGAUAUCGGGAGGAACACCAGUGGCGAAGGCGGCGAUCUGGGUCGAUACUGACGCUGAGGUGCGAAAGCGUGGGGAGCAAACAGG